rnacentral:rRNA from 2 species
CACUUUAGGCGGUGGAUCACUUGGCUCGUGCGUCGAUGAAGAACGCAG